rnacentral:rRNA from 1 species
CUACGGGUCGCUGCAGUGAGGAAUUUUGCGCAAUGGGGGGAACCCUGACGCAGCAACGCCGCGUGAGUGAUGAAGGCUUUCGGGUCGUAAAGCUCUGUCAAGUGGGAAGAACCUAUGCAGUGUUAAUAUCACUGUAUACUGACGGUACCACUGAAGGAAGCACCGGCUAACUCCGUGCCAGCAGCCGCGGUAAUACGGGGGGUGCAAGCGUUAUUCGGAAUCAUUGGGCGUAAAGGGCACGUAGGCGGCUUGGUAAGUCAGAUGUGAAAGCCCGGGGCUUAACCCCGGAAGUGCAUUUGAUACUGUCAGGCUUGAGUAUGGGAGAGGGAAGUGGAAUUCCUGGUGUAGAGGUGAAAUUCGUAGAUAUCAGGAGGAACACCGGUGGCGAAGGCGACUUCCUGGACCAAUACUGACGCUGAGGUGCGAAGGCGUGGGUAGCAAACAGGAUUAGAUACCCCGGUAGUC